rnacentral:rRNA from 1 species
AACGAACGCUGGCGGCGUGCCCAACACAUGCAAGUCGUGCGAGAAAGUUCCUUCGGGAGCGAGUAAAGCGGCGCACGGGUGAGUAACACGUAGGUAACCUGCCCCCCAGUCUGGAACAACUAGAGGAAACUCUAGCUAAUGCCGGAUGAGACCACGAUCCCUUCGGGGGUUGCGGCCAAAGAUGGCCUCUACUUGUAAGCUAUCGCUGAGGGAUGGGCCUGCGGGCCAUUAGCUUGUUGGUGAGGUAACGGCUCACCAAGGCUGUGAUGGCUAGCUGGUCUGAGAGGAUGACCAGCCACACUGGGACUGAGACACGGCCCAGACUCCUACGGGAGGCAGCAGUGGGGAAUAUUGCGCAAUGGGCGAAAGCCUGACGCAGCGACGCCGCGUGGGUGAUGAAGGCC